rnacentral:rRNA from 1 species
ACGGUCCUAAGGUAGCGAAAUUCCUUGUCGGGUAAGUUCCGACCCGCACGAAUGGCGUAACGAUGGCCACACUGUCUCCUCCCGAGACUCAGCGAAGUUGAAGUGGUUGUGAAGAUGCAAUCUACCCGCUGCUAGACGGAAAGACCCCGUGAACCUUUACUGUAGCUUUGCAUUGGACUUUGAAGUCACUUGUGUAGGAUAGGUGGGAGGCUUAGAAGCAGAGACGCCAGUCUCUGUGGAGCCGUCCUUGAAAUACCACCCUGGUGUCUUUGAGGUUCUAACCCAGACCCGUAAUCCGGGUCGGGGACCGUGCAUGGUAGGCAGUUUGACUGGGGCGGUCUCCUCCCAAAGAGUAACGGAGGAGUUCGAAGGUUACCUAGGUCCGGUCGGAAAUCGGACUGAUAGUGCAAUGGCAAAAGGUAGCUUAACUGCGAGACCGACAAGUCGAGCAGGUGCGAAAGCAGGACAUAGUGAUCCGGUGGUUCUGUAUGGAAGGGCCAUCGCUCAACGGAUAAAAGGUACUCCGGGGAUAACAGGCUGAUUCCGCCCAAGAGUUCAUAUCGACGGCGGAGUUUGGCACCUCGAUGUCGGCUCAUCACAUCCUGGGGCUGUAGUCGGUCCCAAGGGUAUGGCUGUUCGCCAUUUAAAGUGGUACGUGAGCUGGGUUUAAAACGUCGUGAGACAGUUUGGUCCCUAUCUGCAGUGGGCGUUGGAAGUUUGACGGGGGCUGCUCCUAGUACGAGAGGACCGGAGUGGACGAACCUCUGGUGUACCGGUUGUCACGCCAGUGGCAUCGCCGGGUAGCUAAGUUCGGAAGAGAUAAGCGCUGAAAGCAUCUAAGCGCGAAACUCGCCUGAAGAUGAGACUUCCCUUGCGGUUUAACCGCACUAAAGAGUCGUUCGAGACCAGGACGUUGAUAGGUGGGGUGUGGAAGCGCGGUAACGCGUGAAGCUAACCCAUACUAAUUGCUCGUGAGGCUUGACUCU